CGAAAGCAGGAAAGGCAGAAGCAGCACGGCCCGCUGUCGCUGGAUCGUUCAAGGAAUGUAUGCCAGAGAGUGUUCCCAAUUCUGCAGACGAGGAGCCAUCGGAGGGUUUCAAGCGGGGAAAUGUCAGCGAUAUUUGCAUUUUAGAGCGAUAACUCUGGCAGUGGUGGAUGGAUGGACUGGAGGGUGCACAUCGUUGGACUCAGAAGCCUGACCCUUGUGGGCAGCACAGAUACAGCACCAUGACAUCGAGUAGGACCCACUGAGUGUGGGCUUGUCUGAUGCUGUGGGCAGGCUAGAGAUAACACCCAGAACACUACUGUAGGACCCAGCCGUCCGUACGCUGUGUGGACAGUGCCGUGAAGCACGGCACCUUUCGGUUGUGUAGAGGAAGGGAUGAGAACGAGGAGGCUCGGGGAAUGUGGUGACCUCCUUUGAGCCACACAUGAACAGGCAGAGCUGAGAUCUUAACGCAGGCGUGGCCCCAAAGUGCCCGCGCAUUCCAGCAAGCCCGUAUAUCCGCCUGUGAAAAAUACCGCAGGGGCCCGGGAGAUUCUGGGUCUGCAACUUCACAACGAAGAUUGCCCGCCUUGCUAUUAACGAGUGUCCCCAGAUGGUGCCUAGACCCCGACGGCCCCGAGAAACCACACGCCACAGCCCGUGUCUCCUCGCCGACUCGUGAGGGAACCCUACGUGUCAGUGGCUCAUUAGAAGGCAGAAGAAGGUAUCUCUCCCUCUUCACCAGCCUCUGGAGGCCCAGAGACUGUCCGUCAACCGCCCCUCAACCUCCUGGGUGUCAGACCUACCGUGGACUGUCCUGCCGGCUUGUGGCGAAGGGGGAGGACAUUCGUGUGAAGCUCCUGAGAACUCAGUACACGUAAGUUACCUUUCCCUGUGCCCCCUUCACCCCGGAGCAGACGUGUGAGGGGCUUUGUCCACCUGCCUGGCUGGGCCGUACAUUCUUGGCCGGUGCCCCUUGACUCAAUACAAAGUGCUACCUGGGGCGGGAUUUUCCCUUUCCCAUUCCUUGAUGGCGCUUCCCCGCGCGGCUGUCUCGCCAGCUCUCUGCUGCCCUCGUGUGGCCACCCUGACCCCUGGCCAUUCCCGAUCCUCUGCUCCCUCGGUGUGGUCGCUUUGCCGUAAUGCAGCCUCUUCCCGGCGUCUGGGCCCAAAGUGGCUCCUCUGCCCUCCGUGUUUCAGACACACGCAUCAAACACAUCCGAGGCUAAUCUCAGCCCUCUCUGGUCAGGUGAUGUUGUCUCGGUUCUUUCCACGUGCCUUCGAGUACGCGGCCCAUCUGUAAGAGGCUCUGGGGGAGCCGCGGUGAGGGCUUGUGUGCCAGCAAGGCCUCGUCAGGCUUCCGGUCCCACAGUCUGUUGCUUUGCCCGACGGCAGGUUCUCUGACCCACGGGUGCUGAGAGCAGUAUGUUUCCGGAGGGCGUUGAAUCAUAGAUCUCCCCUCUUUUGUGCCCUUAAAUUCGGAUCUCUUUAAGUCAGUGGAGGAAAAUGCAACUACUCUUGCGUUGCCCGGGGUAAUGGGGCACCUUGGAUAGACCCAGAGCGCCAGGACUAUGGUGUGAAGACAAGAAAACAAAGGGUCUGUGGGCUACCGCCUUCGAAUCGCGUAGCUUGUCUGGCGAGGGGGACGGAGGGUUCAGGAUACAGUAAGUGCGCUGUUCUGUUUGAAAAACUUUGUGGGUGAGACUAAAGGGAGAAAUGCAUUUGGUGACCUGGCCCUAAACUAGAUUUGAGAGGGUGGGACUUGCAUAUCAGAUACCGAAGAGUCUUAUCUUUCUCCCAAUGUCAGUGAGAACAGUUUUGUGGCAGGAUGUUAUGUGAUUG